UACGUAGGGGGCAAGCGUUGUCCGGAUUUAUUGGGCGUAAAGAGCUCGUAGGUGGUUCGGUAAGUCGGAUGUGAAAUCUCCAGGCUCAACCUGGAGGGGUCAUUCGAUACUGUCAGACUAGAGUACGGAAGAGGCGAGUGGAAUUCCUGGUGUAGCGGUGAAAUGCGCAGAUAUCAGGAGGAACACCCAUUGCGAAGGCAGCUCGCUGGGACGUUACUGACGCUGAGACGCGAAAGCGUGGGGAGCAAACAGG
rnacentral:rRNA from 1 species